rnacentral:rRNA from 1 species
UCACUAGUAGAUGGACCUGCGUUGUAUUAGCUAGUUGGUGAGGUAACGGCUCACCAAGGCGACGAUACAUAGCCGACCUGAGAGGGUGAUCGGCCACACUGGGACUGAGACACGGCCCAGACUCCUACGGGAGGCAGCAGUAGGGAAUCUUCGGCAAUGGGGGCAACCCUGACCGAGCAACGCCGCGUGAGUGAAGAAGGUUUUCGGAUCGUAAAGCUCUGUUGUAAGAGAAGAACGUGUGUGAGAGUGGAAAGUUCACACAGUGACGGUAACUUACCAGAAAGGGACGGCUAACUACGUGCCAGCAGCCGCGGUAAUACGUAGGUCCCGAGCGUUGUCCGGAUUUAUUGGGCGUAAAGCGAGCGCAGGCGGUUUAAUAAGUCUGAAGUUAAAGGCAGUGGCUUAACCAUUGUUCGCUUUGGAAACUGUUAGACUUGAGUGCAGAAGGGGAGAGUGGAAUUCCAUGUGUAGCGGUGAAAUGCGUAGAUAU